rnacentral:snRNA from 1 species
AUUGCUUCUCAGCCUUUUGGCUAAGAUCAAGUGUAGUUUCUGUUCCUAUCAGUUCAAUAUCUGAUAUGUCCUCUACUGACUGGAGGAAGAGAUGGGUAGACAGCAGUGCAGGAACAUACUCACU